ACUUUGGGGGCGGGUUUUGGCGGGAAAAUCUGUAAUGUUUGGAGAAGACAAGAUGGCGCUGGUUACCUCGUGUCAUAUCAAAGGGCAUUUUUGUUCACAAAUACCCAUUUAUUUUACGUUGUAGCGACUGGUUAGUUUUGGAAAUUAUAACUCAAUGGACGGGGAAAACGAUUCUGUAUUAAAGAGAAAAAGAUGUGCAGCUAUUGUGAUGUUAUUUGUUGUGAAAGACGGCCCGAAAUUUCGCUCCAUCGCAGUACUGGUUUAUAAAACAUUUACAAGCAACAACAAUUGAACUAUAUGACAAAGAAACAAGCCAAUCAAGUUCUUCAGUUUAAAGGUCAGUUUACUUUUUAAUAGUUAGUUCAUUUAGUUGUAUAUUAAUACGAAUUACGAAGUAUUGGAUACUAGUAAAAACUUUUUACGAAGUAGCUAAUCGUACUGGAACAGUACGCCGAGUGUGAUUUGCUAUUCGUACUGCAAUCGUAAUAUUUAAGAUAAACCCUUCUCUAACCCUAACCAAUAAAGCCCUAAUAAACUAUUUGAAAGUUUAUUUCGAGAAAAAAAAUUUUAAAAUAUUUUAAGAAAAAUUUCUAAGCCAAACAGACAACCGACGGCUAAAACUAAACCCGGACCCGACCUCGUUUCACUUCGCACGCACGCAACGCCUUUGCUGAAAUAUCCACUACCAGCCUGAAUUGCUGAAAGCUAUUGCAAAAAACUAUUUUAGGGCACAUAAAAAAAUAGUUGGUUAGCGUCCUUAGCUUUUGCCAAAAAGUGGGCGGGUGGACGCUCUUUUUUGUUUUCAACGCCUUGGUUUUAGGUCUGAAACUGGAUUUUCAUGUGCAGUACAGAUAUUUUUUAUGUUUCAAAAUAUGAUUCAUACCGUCAUUUCCGCACACAAUUUCGCCACUUAUUAACACAAUUGACUACAGUCGACAGAAAUACUACAUAUAUUAGAGCCUGUUGAUCAAUAAAAGUUGGGUUUUUUUAAAAUAAAAAAAGGGCGGGCGAGGCGAGGACGCUAACCAACUAUUUUUUUUAUGUGGCCUUAUAUUACUACUUUACAAAAUGUAAGAAUCGGAUAGCCUGCUCACAGACAUUGUUAUUCUUACGCCAAGUGACGAAUUACUACCAUCUGCUUACCCAAGCGCCAAACUGAAUUCCGCUACGUCGACCAAUCAGAAUUUACCUUCCAAAUUCUGGAAAGUGACUUCAGUUGAUUUAGGAGUGGAAUAAAUAUAAAUGUAUAGGUUGAAUUUUGCUCAAAAUUGCACAUAAAUUGAAUUUAAAGAAACUUGUCCAGGUAAUAAAAUGCACCAUUAAUGAUCAUAUUUGGAUAUUAAAGAUGUUCGGUUAUAUUUAAAACGUGGACAAGAUUGGCAUAUUUAAUAUAAUGUAUGAAGCCAAACAGGCGAGACAGCAUCAAAAGCCAAAUAUAUUUCGCUGAAAUUUGAACUUUUGACGGAUGUUUAUCUUUAUAAGACAACAGAACUCGGAAGACAGAAAAUUUGAUAUAAUACUGUGGCAAAAUAUUAGCUUCAAAGUAAACUAAUUGUGCCGUGAUGAAUUUUCCAAUUCGCCCAAACUUUGAAAUGUUUAUACUCUAACUUGGCUAUACUUUUCUACAUGACAAUGAGAGCUUAAUCUUUUAGAAGUUUUCGUCGAAGUCAUGGCAUAUAGGAAGUAUCAAGAGCAACGUUUGGACAUAUCCUGAUAUACUCGAGUUUCCCGAUUGAUUGUUUGUCAUUGACAUUGUUAACAAAAAUUUAAAUUUCGCCUACUGCAUUGCUCUAGCACUUUAUAUACACCAAUUGUUUGCUCAACAUGCGAGAAGAUGAUCACAAUAUUAUUCUAUGUAAACAUUGUAAAGUUCAACGCUAUAGUUUCCAAAAUAUAUCCACACACAAGUAACAAAUUUCAAGUUUCAAUGCAAACAAUAUAUUCCAAUGCAUGUGCAAGGGCUUUCCCCAGUAGCUAAUCUCUCAAUAAGGCGGCUUCCAAUUGGCUCUAACUCUUUUGAACACUGCCAGAUGAUUGGCUCCUAAAACAAAGGGAAUCGAAUAUGCAGCUCGGGUAAGCAGACGGUAGUAAUUCAUCGUUUGGCAUAAGAAUAACAACGUCUGUGAGCAGGCUAAGAAUCGGGUGCCAUACUUCACUACGAUUAUUGGGUCAUACUAAUUACCGGCAAUUACUGAUAACAAGCAUGCAAUUACCGACAACAAGUAGGGGUGCACCUGAUUUGGAAUUUUCAAAUCCGGCUGGAACCGGAUUUGGGCAAAAAUUCUGGCCGGAUUUGAGAUAAACCGGUAAUGGUCCCAAUUGGGUAUAAAUUGUGAUAAUUCAGUAUUCAAAUGGUGGUUUAUGUUUUUUACUAUUUUUAGUUAGUGUCAGUUUAGAUUUUUGAUUGUGUUUAAACCUUUUAUAAAUAUAUUUUUGUUAAUAACUUAAUAUUUUAUAAUAAUAUAAGUGUUUUUUAAACUUUAAAGCUGCCAAAUUGAUGGCUUACCCCAUUCUUGAAUAUUUUGAGGUGAAAACAGAAAUUUAAAUCCGGCCGGAUUUUGUCCAAAUCCGGCUGGAUGGCCGGAAAAUUUGUUAAAUCCAGCCGGAAUUCUGGCCGGAUUUGAAAUCCGGUGCACCCCUAACAAUAAGCACACAAUUACCGACAACAAGCACACAAUUACCGACAACAAGCUGAAAAAUACGGACAACAAGCAAAUACAUACUUUCAUUGUAUUCUUAUAGUUAUUUGGUUGUUUUUGAGGAAACCCAAAAUAUAUAAGUUUGACAGAUUUUGUCAAACAUUGUUGAGUUAAAACAUUCCGCUAUUAAAGAUGAUGGAUUCACGUAGGCAGACACCAUAUAAAAGUAUAGAUAGGAAACGAAAUUUCAAGUAGAAAAUCAGUAUUAACUAACCUAUUAUCUAUAAUAAUAUAACUACCAACUUCUAUAAAGUGUGUAUGCGUAUAAUGUGUCUAAAAUGUUUAAUAGUAACAAACAGAAACAAGCUAUAAAUUAUUUACAUCAAUUCAUACAGCCAUGCAUUCAUACAAAUAACUAUAAGAAUACAAUGAAAGUAUGUAUUUGCUUGUUGUCGGUAUUUUUCAGCUUGUUGUCGGUAAUUCAAAUUGUGAGCUUGUUGUAGCAGUAAUUGUGUGCUUGUUGUCAGUAAUUUGCUGCUUGUUGUCGGUUGUUGAUGGUAGUUGUUAGUAUGACCACAAUUAUUAGUUCAAUCGAAAAAUCAUUUAUAUUUUCACAUUUGGAAUUUUUUACGAUUGAUCACGAAGAUCAGCGGAUAUUUCUAUACGCUUUCUAGAUAUACUAUUGAAUUUUCCAAACUUUCCAGUCAGGCAAAGUUCCACCCCACACCAUGGAAUUUCAUUUCAGCACCCUAUAUCAUUCUAGAAUAUCUUUAUUAAUCAUUUCAGCAACUUCGGCUAGCUUGCGUUGUUUUUGCUAAAUACUGCUCACAGGCUGUUGUCCAAGGGGGGCACCCUCAGUCAUUAACCCCCUUGCCACAUUGCAACAUUAACAAAACAAUCAACCCCACUGCCUCAAAACUCUCCGCCCCUGUCAUACAGCAACCUCCUAGCCAUCUUUAACAACAGAUGUCGAAGAUGUCUACACAAUGCGAUGUUUGCUUAUGAUUGUUGUAUGCAACUUGCUGACCCCAUCCCUGCAACUUUGUGUCGUCUUUCUAUACAGUAUGAUUAUUGUAUGUGUCAUUUCCAACCGAGAGAUAUAUUAGACCCUCUUUCUACUUUUUUUUACUUUGCCUUGUUCACACUUUGAACAGGAAGCGUACCAAUUUCGCUUUCUCUCGUUGAUGUCCGCCAUUUUGAACUAUUUUUUCAUAAAAAAUGUAUGAAAGUUGCACGAUUUUAAAUUGUACGGCUAUCUACACGGCACGAUUUGCGUUGCAGGGAUGGUGUCAGCAAGUUGCUUCCGAUACCAAAUUUCCCAAUUUUGAAACACCCCUUGGAGAAUGUAAUUCCCUCUAUGCAAUGCAGGUGGUUUUAGCUCCAUUUUUUUAAGCAUUUUAUAAAGUGUAUGCUAUGUACAUGCUAUGAAGCUAGUUUUGUUGGCAUGCUUUUUUUGAAAAUUUCAGCGGCCAUGUUGUUCAAGCCAAAACAAGCUAGGUUAAACCCAUCAUGGAUUGUAAAAUAACAUUUAUUUUAUUAUCCAUGGUUAUAUGAACAGGGUUUUUCCCAGGAUUUUCUCUUGGGUCCGUUUUUGCAGAGAAGAUUGAGUUUAGCUGAACAGUUGGGGUGGCUGCACCCGCCCCCCCCCCACCCCACCCCUACCGGGGCCUGACACCUGUACUCAAUAAAUGUAAUUGAGACUGAAUGUGUUAAAGCAAGGACACUAUAAACUGGUUAAAGAUGGCUUGUCAGGCUUCCAACUGAAAACUAAUUCCGACACGUCACAAAUUUUAUAACUCAAACAACUUCAUUUUUACUCCACUGAAACUUUGGUGAGAAGAUUGAGUUUCAAAACUCAAUUCAAGAUUGAGUUAAAAAAAUCCCUCAAAAAACCCCUGAUGAAGUAAGGUUUGAACGUAAAAAAUGACUUUCUAUUCAGUUCUGUAUACAGUUCAGUGGCUCAGACAACUUCAGAUUAUCGCCCGAAGACCUGGGAACGAACUUGCCGAAGAGCAUGCAUAAGCAUAAAUUAUGAAAUAAAUUAAUGAGGUUGAUUUAAUAAUACUGUAUUUUUGUUGAUUUUAAAAUGUUUAGCGAGCAAACAUUGUUAUGUUACAAUCGUGGUUGGGUCAAACAAUAUGUGGAAAGCAAAAGUAGCGAAGCUAAAGAGAUUAAAAUUGGAUUUAGUGCGUAUAUUUGAAAAAAAUUACCACCAAAUAUGGUAUCCCCCCCCCGUUCACAACACUUGUGACGUCAGUUACAUACGGGACUUUGGGGGCGGGUUUUGGCGGGAAAAUCUGUAAUGUUUGGAGAAGACAAGAUGGCGCCGGUUACCUCGUGUCAUAUCAAAGGGCAUUUUUGUUCACAAAUACCCGCUUAUUUUACGUUAUAGCGACUGGUUAGUUUUGGAAAUUAUAACUCAAUGGACGGGGAAAACGAUUCUGUAUUAAAGAGAAAAGGAUGUGCAGUUAUUGUGAUGUUAUUUGUUGUGAAAGACGGCCCGAAAUUUCGCUACAUGGCAGUACUUGUUUAUAAAACAUUUACAAGCAACAGCAAUUGAACUAUAUGACAAAGAAACCAAUAUAUACAAGCCAAUCAAUUUCUUCUGUUUAAAGGUCAGUUUAAUUUUUAAUAAUUAGUUCAUUUAGUUGUAUAUUAAUACGAAGUACUGGAACAGUACGUAGUUUGAUGCCGAGUUUGAUUUGCUAUUUGUACUGUACUCGGAAUAUUUAAGAUAAGGUAUGGAUAAACAGACCCCAACCCCUUUUCUAACACUAACCAAUAAAUGUGUAAUGAACUAUUUGAGAAUUAAAAAGGUUAGGGGGGGGGGAAUUUAAAAAUAUUGUAAGAAACAUUUCUACAGGGCUGUUUUAUAUGGAAAAGCAGGGUUGGCCCUCUUCGCAGGAUGAAUUUUGCUUGCGUUUAAUAUAUAAGGAAAUUUUAUCCUGCUUGCUGGGCUAGAAAUUGUUUACAAUGCACUCAAUUGGCUUUCCCGGGACAACUUUCAAAAUUAAUUUUUGCUUCAAAACUCACUAUUUUGUAAACAUUGAAGGGUCUCUGUAAAGAACGAAAUUAACCCAAACCGGAAACAAUCGAAACCGGAAAUUCCCACCUAAUUCCUGCAUAAACAAAUAUAAAUUAUAUUGUUGAUGCUAGAUCACUGGCAUUUCAUUUAGAUAAAUAUCCUCCGAAUGUCAUAAGUCACAAGGUUGUAUACUAUUUAACUGCUAACAAUUUUGUAAAUUAUUCAAUAAUCUUAUUGCAUCUUCCUGAACAAUGCUGGUUUUGUUUGACAAAAACGAUAUUGCAUUCACUUUCUCAUUUGACAUCCGAUAUGGCUUCCACUAAAAUGGCACGCUUCGUGAUUUAAAAAAAAAAAAUACAUGCUCAUUUACAUGUUUCCAAAUCCCAAUUUAUCUGACUGCAUUUUAAUGGAUUCAAAUAUUCAGAACUUUGUUCUUUCAAUCACAAGUAGUACAAGUAUUAUUGCAUUCAAUGGUAGUAUUUUAUUCGGCUUUAUAUGUGUAUUUUGUAUGUGUAUUUUUUAUAUUUGCAGGGCUCAAUAUAACAGCCGAUAGGUCUCCGGAAAAUGACCGGUCAACUUGAUUUUAGCUCGGUCAAAAUCUGUUUUCGACCGGUCACUAAUACUUGUGCACUAACAGUGAAAAAAAGUUAUAAGAAAUUUGUCUUGAGACAACUUUUAUUGCUUUGUCAUGUUUUAAACGCUUAGUUAAGACGUUAGCAGUCCCUAUAUAUAAAGGUGAACAGGUAACGUUAUCGUCGUUACCAGAGUUGUUUGCCGAUCUGAUUGUCGAGGUUUCAGUUUUGCCGCUGAAAAUCCUGAGGGCUUUUGUGUCGUGCGACUACUUUCGCAGCUACCUUCUUUACAUUUUCCAACAAGAAAAUUUUCUUCUCUGUAACCUAGUGUUUUAGCAAGCCACAGAGCAUAUGCAAAUUGAGUCUUGCAAAAAAUGCAGAGGUAUAUGAUGGUUUUCCGUCCACACUUCGUACAAUCCUUGAUCGCCCAAAUCCAGACGAUAAGAGAGGCAUUAGUCAAGUGGUGCUACCCAAAAAAAACACCAGCUGAUUCGUUAGGCGACGAAGAGUCUGGAAUUUUUACUUGAAGCCAAUCACUUUUGAGAAAAAUCUGAGUAUUAAAACAACAUAAUUAGAACAAAGUCGAAACCUUUCAAGUUCAGCAUAUACUAUGUUUUUGUCGUACAUAACUCGACAUACUUACGGUGAAGUUGCAUACUUGCGAUGAAAUAUACAGUUUUUCUCUGACAAUAUUUCAGCAGACAUCAUAUGGUGAGGAGAAAAAACGAUUUAAAAUUCUAGGGAAAGGUAUGAAAAUGUGGCCGGUCAAAAUGACCGGUGAGGUAAAUAAGUGAAAGGUCAAGAGGCAAUUUUGGCCGGUCAUUGUCUGUUGACCGGCUGUUAUAUUGAGCCCUGAUUUGUAUGUGUAUUCAUUAGCUCGUAAUUGUAUUAUUUGGAGCAUAUAUUUAAUUAAUUAAUAUAUUGUGUGGCUUGCUAAUGUUUCGUAUUAAUGUUAUAUACAUUUCUUUAUCCUGAUGAUGACUGAAAUAUAGUCGAAAUGUUGGUAUUAAAAUAUAAAAAUGUUAUUGAUCUUCGGAGUUACACUUGUUUUAUACAUUUCUUUGUUGUACAUUUCACACCCUGCGUCAAUUUGACAGUCUUUGUUUAUUAUCCCGGUGAGCCUGCUCGCAGGCUAAAUUUUAGGCAAUUUUAUGCGGGGAAAUUAGGUGGGAAUUUCUGGUUUCGGUCGUUUCCGGAUUUGGUUGUUUCGGUUUCCGUUCUUUACAGAGACCCGCUAUUGAAGCACAUACUGCGAUUUGCAGUUGAGUUUAGAAACAGGAAGUUUUACCGCACAGUUUGAUCGUAAUGUUGUCAAGCGGAAAUGUGAAUGUUUUCAUGGGAAAUCUAGGCACUUUUGGCCAAUCACAUAAUUUCUGCGCCUUCUUUGCUAUGAUUGCCCAGAAGUGCCUAAAUUUCCAAUGAAAACAUUCACAGUUCGAUCAAACUGCACGGUAAACCUUCCUGUCUCUAAGCUCAACUGUGCAGGUCACAGUAUUUGCAACCUUUUGUUUUGUCUCUUUUACGUAUGUAAUGUCAAGAACUAUAAAAAUAAUUGCAGAAAAGACUUCACACUAUCGAAAAUAUUUCAUCCUGGCAACCGGGCCAAAUUUUCACCUUGGUUGUCCGUAUAAACGCACAGGAAUUUUUAAAUUUUACUACACAGCGAGAUCUCGCUUAUCGGGCUGUCUUGCCAAGUGGGCCAGCCCAGUCCAAUAUAAAAAGCCCCUAUGCCAGGAUGCAUUCCAUGUAAAGUAUACGCUGAAGAUACGCCAAUAUUAACUAUAGAUAGUAUUGUAAUGUGCCAAACUCACGCCGAAGAUCUUCGGCUUAGGCCACUUAAAAUGCACCCUGGCCCCUAUGUCAAACAAAAAAUAUCUAAAACAAAACCUGACCCCCAACCUCGUUUCAUUUUGCAUCCACGCUAUGCCUUUGCCAAAUAUGCUGAAUUGCUGAUUUGCUGUUGCAAAAAACUGUUUUAUAUUACUACUUUACAAAAUGUAAUAAUUGGAUGCCAUACUUCAGUACGAUUAUUAGUUCGAUAUUAAUAAUUAUUUAUAAGCACUAUUACACAAGAAAUGUCAACAAUGAAUUUUCCUUCAAUGGUUGCUUUUUAUUGGUCAAAAGUUUAAUAUUGUUUUGACAAGAGAAAUGUUUCUCAACGAUUUUCAGAAAGUUUUCGAAGACUUCUAGAAGGGGUCUGUUUUUAAUUGGGAUAUUCCAUUUAAAAGACAUAACCCCCCUAUCGAGGACAAUGGUCUUACCAUAUCUCUGAAGAAUUCCUGACAUAAAAAAGAUCCCCUGAAGAAUUCCUGUUAAUUAAAUAGCAUUUACCCCUGAAGAAGUCAGCGUUUACCCCUGAAGAAGUACAAUUUUUACACCUGACCCCUAAGGAAAUUGCAUUCGAAAUAACGAACCCCUGAAGAAUUCCACCAUAGACGGAUUUUCACUCUUUUACUGGGGUGGUGCCAGAAAUUUUAGGGGGGUGAGCUGUGAGCAGGUGACUGAAGCAACACAAAGUGUCACCAAACCCCAGUAAGGUCUAUAUUCUAGGGGUGGAGCACUAUAGAGCUGCGAGGGGGAGUCUAGAGAGCAGAAAACAAAAGUAUCCCAGGAAAAAAUCAUGAUUUCUAGCUUUGAAAAAGUUUUUUGAAGUUGUCAUAUCAAUGGUUUUUAAAGAUUAAAUCUAGGCAAGUCUAUUUCCUAAAAGAAUUAAAGACUAAAAUAAUGUUCUUAAAAAUUCCAAACGUUCCUUGCAAAUAAGCUAUUUGCAUGGCAAGGCACUGCAGGGGAGAUAAUAGAGUUUCAAGACUUUACAAUUGCUCCAAUAAACCAGUUUCAGAGUAUUGCACCAUCUUUUUCUAUUUGAGUGUACUCCUACAUUUAUUUUGUAUCAUCAACACUCUGCACGUUGGAGUGGACUAUUUAAUUAUUUUUUAUUAUGCCGAAUAUUGGGGGGGGGUGGAAAAUUUUUUUGGAGGGGUGGACAUUUUGUUUUGGGGGGUUAUAGCCCCCCCCGAAAAUCCGCCUAUGAAUUCCACGGGAGAAUUUGUUUACCCAUGAGGAAUUUGUUAAAUGGAAUAGCCCAAUUUUCUGGAAAAUUUCCUGGUUGUUUUCCCUGUAGCUUGUUUAUAAACAUGAUGAUAAUUUUCCAGAAUUGUCUGGUUCAAUAGAAAUUUUAUUUUCCAAAGUUUUAAAAUAAACAGAAGUGCAGAUGUACCCAAAACAGCUGGUUAAUUUUUACCCACUGGUAGCACUAAUCAGCUAAAGCUUUGAACCACUGGCCCCAGGGGCCAGUUGUUCAAAGCUGGGUUAGCUUAACCCUAUUUCAACAACUAAAAUUCAAAGCAAACUUCCUUUAUCAGUCGAAAGUGAUUAUUUAGAACUGAAUUUGUAAAAGUGGUGGGAAUUGAACCCGCGACUUUUGGGAUACUAGUCCAAUGGUCUGCCAAGUGAGCUAUGUGGUCAAGUCGGUUCGAGUUGAUGAUAUUUCGUAACCGAGUCUAGUUCCUUCGAUCAUAUCAUAGAAUACACUGAUAUCGAAAGAACUACACUUCCAAAAUAUCAUCAACCGACUUGACCAUGUAGCUCAGUUGUCAGAGCAUUGGACUAGUAUCCCAAAGCUUGUGGGUUCAAUUCCCACCAUGACCAAGCUAACUUUUCAGCUGGUGUGGAUACACAUUCAGAGUAACAUUGCAAACAUCACAAUUUUCAGAAAGUUUUGACCAUUAUUUUGGGGUAGUACACAGUGGUCCCCCAGCCUAGGGUUGUCUUUACCAAUGCCAAUAUAAAUCUUAUUGGCAUAGAGAAUUAUACAUUUGGCAUAAUAAUUUUGUAUGCUGCAUUCAUUCUAUUGACCAAUCGGGGAGAUUCUUUUGUAAAUACCCACACCAAUCGGAAGUCUGUAUUUUUAUGCUAAAACAGAAAUUGGCAUCCCAGAUACUAAAUUAUAUUCAAAUUUAUAUUCAAGUUUAGGGUAUGUUGCAGCUCUAUAUCUUGCUGUUGCAAGUUGCUUUGCGUUUGAUGUUUGUUCUGGGAUAAAAUAUUGAAUUAUACCUUAAAUUAAUGUUUCGUGAAGUUUAGUUCAAAUUAAUAGAGAGAUGAGUGCAUAAAGUAUUUAGGGUAUUUUGAAGCUAAAUUUGUUUUAAAAUUCGUCAUUUUAGUGAAAUGAUGUGGAACACAAUGCGUUCUUUUCUACUCGUCCUGGUUGUUGUAAAGAGACAUCGGGCAUUGUAAUGAAUAGAUGAAAAUGUGUCGCUGGCAAACCUACACCAUGUGCAUUUCUUGGUGGAUAUCUUGGGCAAAUGUGCAAUAUGAUGGAUAUCUUGGGCAAAUAUCUUGUAUAAAUUGGUACAAUUACCUUAAAUUACUAAAGAAGGAUGAUGUUUUGAGGUUAGUGGAUAUUUAUAAUAGUGAUAAAAUGGGGGUUCCCUGUGAAUAGGAACGAAGGGCUGUCCAAUUAAGUGGAAACAAUAUUGCGGCGUGUAACAAUUUAAUCUGUAAAAAUGAUACAUGUUUAGAACAUGCAAAAAGCAAAAAUUGCGGCAUAAAUAUAUCACGAAACAUGCUUCUUACAACUACAUGCUAUGUUUAUAGGAAUUUGAAUAAUUUUUAGUAGGCAAGAUUUAGGAUUUUUGUUUUACUUUCAUUUAUGAUUUUCUAUAAAUGCCCCAUCUAGUUCAUAUAUAAUACCAUAAUGUAUAUAGAUUGUAAAUAUAUAGAUUGUAUUUUUUUUUAUAUAGAAAAUAAUAGAGUUCUUAUACAACUACAUGCUGUGUUGGGUUGUUAGGGUUGAAUAAGUUUUUAGCAGGCGUGAUUUAGGAUUUUUUUUAGGAUUUUCUAUAAAUUUAGUCUGUGCCCAGACUGUCCCCCCCCCCCCCAGGUCAAAAAAUAUGCCAGAUUUGUAAAUUCUACCAAAUCUAUUCAUACCAAAAAAUUAAAUGCUCUCUUGUGUGGCAAUGUCUGCCCAACAGCACCCAGAAACUUAAUCGGUAAAACCGGUAUACUCGUCUCAAAAUUAGCUAAGCAAAUUUAUGCAAGUAUAAUUUUGAAAUGAACAAGUAAAAAACUGCCGAUCAUAUUUUGCCGGUAGCUGUACGGCAUUAGCGUCGAAUGACAGCAGACUGUAAUCCCGUGGGGGAUUGCAACAUAAUAAUGCAUGUAAUAUAUGGUUGUACUUGUAAAAUUUAUAAUUGGUGUGUGACGAGUGAGGUUGAAGCGAGCAGGCGAAGCAGCAUUCUAAUAUAUACAGAUGGGGGCGGUUGAAGUAAAUUUUAUUUAGGUAUUACAUCGUCGUCAUGUGUGCUUGCUAUGCACAGAACAGACUUGCUAUGCACAGAGUGUCCCACAGCAGUAUGCAUAAGUUGUUGAUCAGGAAAAUAUAAUAUUUCACAAUAUAAAAAUUAUUAAAUAUAAAUAUAUAUUUCUUGUAACGUUUAAAUAUUUCCUGUAUUAUUUCUCAAUCCUUGCUCAAUGAGAAAAACAUACUUAAUUUUGUAAUAUAGGAAAAAAUAGAGUUUCUGUAAUAUGUAUGUAUCUGAAACAACUACAUGCUAUGUUGAUAGGAAUUUGAUGUUGUUAUUUUUAGUAGGCAUGAUUUAGGAUUUUUGUCUCUAUUCAUGAUUAGAAAUAAAUGGGGUGUCCAACUAAUUUGAGAUAUGUUAUGAAUUUAUGAUAUCUUUACCACAUAAAAGAGUGGCAGUGUCAUCACAACAGUAUAAAUACCAAUUACUGUGGGUGUGGGCUCUAUUUUACAAAUACUAUAUAAAUAUACAAUACCAUAAUUUACGAGAAUAAAUACAACUAUCAGGAACAACAAGAGAGUAGAGUAGCAAGACUAUGGAGAAGUGUUACAUUUCAAACAGAUCGAUUUCCAAGUCUGGGGAUUUUCAGAUUCAUAGUUUAUAUUGAUAGCAGCAAUGUAAUAUCUGUAUAACAUACAGUUGUUAAAUUUUUUAACGUCUCUCUGGAGCCUGCAGGAGGAGAGACCCUGGGAACGAGGAUGGGCUCAUAUUUGUUCUUAAGAGUUUUUUGUUGGGCAUAUAGAUGGGGGGGAGUUGUAUAUGGGGGUAUUUUGAUAUCGUAUAUAUCAAAAUCUAAGUUAGUCCUUUAUGAACACAAUAAAACUUAUUUGAGUGUAAUCGCUUUUGUAGUUUUUGUUACAAUAAAAUAAGUAAAUCAAUAAUGUCAUUGCUGUUGAAAUGACUUAAUUCAUUACUAAUAAUACUAAAGCUUGUGUUGCUGAUAAUAUACCAUCCAGCGUCUAUUUUUUGGCAAAAUUGUUGCACAGACCAUAUUCCAAUGUUUGUGAUGUGACCAUUGCAUAUGGCUGUCAAAAACGUCAAGAUUAGUUAGAUUAUUGUUUUCUAAAACAUUGCACGGCUCGUGAUUUUAGAACUAUUUUUGUGCUUUAACCCAUUGAGUGGCAGCACUCUCCACUUGACAAGUAAAAUCCUGUGGCGUUAGAUAGUAAAAUACUAAAGUAGGGUGCAUCGGGGCACAAUGCAACUUAAGUAAAGGGUUAACCAAAACAAAGUUCAUAAAAAAAAUUUUCACACAGUACCGGUACCAUGCCUGUUUGUAUUUUGAAGUUCCCCGAGUACAGCAUCUGAUGCACAAGACUUUGCUCUUGAUGAGUAAAAUGAUCUGAUAUCAGACAUUUGAGUUCCUUUGCAGCUUAAGGAGUUAAUCCUAUUUAUCUUGGAGAACAGCAGUUCAACUAUCUGGCUGGCUUGACAAAUAAAAUUAAGCAGGGGGUGCACUGGCAGUUAAUGGGUAACUAGACACUUGGGCAGUCUCAUUAUGAAGCAUAAAAUCGUCUGGCGUUGGACAGUAAAAUACUCAAGUAGAGCAUGCAUCAGGGCACAGUACAACCUAACGGUUUAAUUUGGGGUUUUUUUGUAGCAAAAUGGUUUAAGUUUUAUAUCUGAAUUAAUUAUUGUUUUUUUUGCUUUGUUUUACAGAUCAUUACUGAACAUGCUGAUGAAAUAUUGAUUUAUAAAAUAUCAUGUUACCAAGAUGACAUGCCUUGAAGAGCAAUACAGGAGGGAAUACCUCUAUUUCUAAUCAAAUUACAACAACACACCAAAGACAGUAGUUAUGAUCACGAAGCUAUGAAUUUAAAGAAAAUGUACCAAACGACAAAGACGAUGAUGAAAUUGGAUGCCUCGGAUGAAAUGAAAGGAUUGAUCAAAAGUCCAUGGUCAGCAGUGGAUAUUUGUGACUAUAAUAAAUGGAUACAAAGAAACUAUGAUGGAUAAAUAUGGCCCCGUAAUGGAUAUUCAGUUAAUGGACAUACAAAGGUCACAGAAAUGUCCACUCUCAGGUAUUGUUCUUUCUUGUUUGCCUGCGAACAGGCUGUAGAUACUUGUAUCCAGGCCAUCCAUUGUUUGUUUUGUUGUUCUGGGUACAAUGAAAUCCGGCAUAAAUCCUGGCGGUCUAAAUGUUCAGUAUAUUUACACAUUCGAUCUAUUUUCUAUUCAGUAGACUUUGAUAGGGCCAAAAAAAAAAAUAUGUGGGUUUCCGGUUUCCCGACCCUACCUAGCUUUUGGACGUCGAAAUCCCGACCCUAAACUUUUUUAUUGGAUCACGCUUGUAAGUGUUUCCACUUAGAGGAAAAAGUUUGUGGAAAAUUGAAAUUUGAGGCAAUAUUAAGGAAAUUUAUCUUUGGAUGUGGAAGCACCGACUAAACAAAAUGGCGUCCGGUUGUUCGGAAAAUUAAAAAAAAAGUUUAAAAAAAAAAGUUAAAACCGACCUACCCUACCUAAGUUUUUAUAAGAAGAAACCGGAAACCCACAUAUUUUUUUUUUUGGCCUAGCUUGAACGAAAGUUUAUAACGAUGAUUUUCUUUGCAAAAACUGUACUUUCGAAAUUCGUCAGCUUCUGAAUUUGAAAACCGAUCUGAAAAAAAAGAGGGAACAUUUGAGUGUAUGGUUAUUGCAUGGUUUCCCUCUGUGUAAAUAUACUGCCUUGGUGCAUACGCAUUACAAGCGCAGCAACACAAUAGUUUAGACAGGGUCAUGAGGCAGGAUGUGUGCAAGAAAAGCUUUGCCAGAGUUUUGUCUUUCGAAAUACAACGACGAUUGUAAAUUGCUGUUUGAUUCUUUGUAAUAUCUCGUCGCUUUGUUAGUAAAAAAGAAUUUGUCACUUCCCUCAUCUAAACCUUUAAAAAAAAACUGGCAUCGUUGGUCUUGGGGUUAGGGGGUACAAAUGGUACCCAUAGCUUAGAGGGUGCAAAUGGUACCCGUAAGAAGACUUGGUGGAAAUCAUGUUGGUCGUUUGGAUCGGCGAGAAUAAGACAAUUAUGGCGGCAAAGUUUUUUUAAACAUUUUCUCCCGUAGUAAGGUAAAGCAUGUAUUUUCCUGGUAGCCGGUCUUACUUCAUGAAAAAACAGUCCGCUACCAGUGACUAGGUCCCCUCUCUUAUGGCGGUCAUUGCGGCUCAAUACCUUCAGGGAUAUUCCUUUUCAGGGCGGUUGCAUGCGGAUAAUAUGGUCCGUCGCGUGCGCAAAAUAGUUAGGGAGAUAGACAGUUUAGAGGCGUCGAAACUGCGCAAUAUACACUCGCACGAAACGUUGCUAUUUUGCAAUUUGAAUCUGGGUUGUGCGUUUCUGGCAAAUGCCUUUAGAUUCAAGUUGUUACGAUAUUUACAAGCGCAUUACUGUCGUUCCAAUUGAAGUGUUCCUCAAAUAUCGAUUCAAUACAUUACCUCGGGCUGACCAAUUCAUUUCAUCAAGUUCCUCGAAAUAUUCAUACACUUCCUUACUUAAUUGUAAACUUCCUGUUGAAUAGUUUGAAUGCACCAAUCACCUUUGUUGUUUGUGCAACUACCAAUCAUAAAUAGAAAGGAAGUGACCAGAAAUUAUCAAAUUCUUGGAAUUGGCUCUUUCACAGGAAGUGUAUGAAUAUCUCGAGGAACUUGAUGAAAUGAUUGCGAUGUUACUCUGAGUGCAUAUCCACACCGGGCGAGCUUGAAAAAUAUGCCCGAUCCCACCGUGGCCGGGCAUAUUUUUCAAGCUCGCCCGGUGUGGAUAUGCACUCAGAGUAACAUCGCAAACAUAUUAUUCACCUGAGUACACAACACCAACACAGAAAAAAUUUGAUGAAAUGAAUUGGUCAGCCUAAGGUAAUGUAUUGAAUCAAUAUUUGAGGAACACUUCAAGUGUAAAUACGGCAUUACUUUUAAUGAAAAGACCGCCAGGGUUAGAGUGUUUUUAUGUUUGGUUUGUUAAGGAGCAAACUCGCUUUUUUAAAAAAAAGAAAUAUGUAUUAAUUUCGAUCCAGAUUUGUUCCUGAACAUGGUCGCCAUGAAAACACUCUGUAGAGCAAGCCAAGAUCAGCGACGUACGGUCAUAAUAGCGUUGUCGGAAGUUUGCAUUCAGCAUUUCGUUCAAAAUUAAACGUACAUUAUGUUAAUAAGUUGCUAGGGUUGCGUACAAUCGGUACCCACAUUUUAAAGGGAAUAACUAAUAUGUAUAAAUAGGGCGUGCGCACGAAGUUUUUUUCGCAGGCCUUUAACUUCGGGGAAAAUAAUAAAAAAGCAGUGUCCGUGGUCGGGGCUGAAUAGUACUGUGGAAGAUUGGGUUGGGAAAUUUGCAAUCAAGAUCUGUAUUUUUGGGCAAUUGUUACUGCUGAUGUAAAAUAACAUCUAAAGGG
rnacentral:lncRNA from 1 species